rnacentral:snoRNA from 1 species
CUGCUGUCAAUUAAGCUGACCGUACUCCUUUCCUCAUGGAAGCCCAGUGUGCAAUGACUACAAACAGCAGCGUCCUUGGUAGUGUACAUAGUGUGUUGCUUGCAUGGGUUGCUCUAAGUGAUCUUGGGGACAGCC